rnacentral:rRNA from 1 species
AAUAUUGGAUAAUGGGCGAAAGCCUGAUCCAGCCAUGCCGCGUGUGUGAAGAAGGACUUCGGAUUGUUCCGAACUCUACGUUGAGCGGAAGGGCAGUAAGUUAAUACGUUGCUGUUUUGACGUUACGGACAGAAUAAGCAACGGCUAACUUAGUGCCAGCAGCCGCGGUAAUACGAAGGGUGUAAGCGUUAAUCGGAAUUACUGGGCGUAAAGCGCGCGUAGGUGGUUCGUUAAGUUGGAUGUGAAAGCCCCGGGCUCAACCUGGGAACUGCAUCCAAAACUGGCGAGCUAGAGUACGGUAGAGGGUGGUGGAAUUUCCUGUGUAGCGGUGAAAUGCGUAGAUAUAGGAAGGAACACCAGUGGCGAAGGCGACCACCUGGACUGAUACUGACACUGAGGUGCGAAAGCGUGGGGAGCAAACAGG